UGACCGUACUAAGGUAGCAUAAUAAUUUGCCUUUUAAUUGGAGGCUAGUAUGAAUGGUUUGACGUGAAAUAUACUGUCUCAACUAUAUUUAGUAGAAUUUAACCUUUAGGUGAAGAGGCCUAAAUUUUGUGGGAAGACAAGAAGACCCUGUUGAGCUUUUAAUAUUUAUGUUAGUGAAAGCCUAAGUUUUAUAUGAUGGUCACUACUCAUAAGUAUGUUGGUUGGGGCGACCGAGGAGUACAGAAGCAACCUCCUUGUAAUGUAAAGAAUUUGUUAUUAACGAACCUGUAUUAUAGGUUAUUCGGUAGUUACCACAGGGAUAACAGCGUAAUUCUUUUGGAGAGUUCAUAUCGAAGAAAGAGAUUGCGACCUCGAUGUUGGAUUAAGGUGUCCUAAGGG
rnacentral:rRNA from 1 species